AGAGUGGCGCACGGGUGCGUAACGCGUGAGCAACCUACCCAUAUCAGGGGGAUAGCCCGAAGAAAUUCGGAUUAACACCGCAUAACACUGUUAGUUGGCAUCAACAUACAGUUAAAUAUUUAUAGGAUAUGGAUGGGCUCGCGUGACAUUAGCUAGUUGGUAAGGUAACGGCUUACCAAGGCAACGAUGUCUAGGGGCUCUGAGAGGAGAAUCCCCCACACUGGUACUGAGACACGGACCAG
rnacentral:rRNA from 1 species